rnacentral:misc_RNA from 1 species
GGAUAUUGCUAUAUGGUCCUCCUGGAUGCGGGAAGACACUGAUUGCUAAGGCAGUUGCAAAUGAGGCAGGAGCCAAUUUUAUUCAUAUUAAGGGUCCUGAGCUCCUAAAUAAAUAUGUCGGAGAAAGUGAACUUGCAAUUCGAACAUUGUUCAGUCGGGCGAGGACAUGCUCUCCAUGCAUUCUUUUCUUUGAUGAAGUGGAUGCUUUAACAACAAAACGUGGUCAAGAAGGGGGAUGGGUUGUAGAGAGAUUGCUGAACCAGGUUCUUUUCUGAUAGAGUU